GAAGUAAGCCAGACUGCCGCUUUUUUAAAGAAAAGAGGAAAGUCCGGGCUCCACAGAGCGGGGUGACGGGUAACGCCCGUCCGCCAUACGUUGCGGAUACCCGCAACCAAAGCGAGGAAUAGGACCACAGAGACGAGUCGCCGCAUAGCGGCGGGUGAAACGCGGCAACCUCCACCCGGAGCAACGCAAAUAGCAGAUGAUGACGCGGCUCGCGUAGUCUGCGGGUAAGCGGCUUGAGCCAUACAGUGAUGUAUCGCCCAGAUGAAUGGCAGUCACGUGACAAACCGUCACGACAGAACCCGGCUUAUCGGCUUGCUUCGCCC
rnacentral:RNase_P_RNA from 1 species